rnacentral:rRNA from 1 species
UACGUAGGGGGGCAAGCGUUGUCCGGAAUCAUUGGGCGUAAAGCGCGUGUAGGCGGUUCGGUAAGUCCGCUGUGAAAGUCGGGGGGCUCAACCCUCGGAUGCCGGUGGAUACUGUCGGGCUUGAGGUACGGAAGAGGCGAGUGGAAUUCCUGGUGUAGCGGUGAAAUGCGCAGAUAUCAGGAGGAACACCAAUUGCGAAGGCAGCUCGCUGGGACGUUACUGACGCUGAGACGCGAAAGCGUGGGGAGCAAACAGG